rnacentral:rRNA from 1 species
GACGAACGCUGGCGGCGUGCUUAACACAUGCAAGUCGAACGGAAAGGCCCUGCUUUUGUUGGUUGCUCGAGUGGCGAACGGGUGUGUAACACGUGAGUAUCCUGCCCUUGUCUUUGGGAUAACUUCAGGAAACUGGGGCUAAUACCCGGUAUGAUCUCCUGCUCCAUGUUGGGGGUUGGAAAGUUUCGGCGGUUCGGGAUGGACUCGCGGCUUAUCCGCUUGUUUGUGGGGUAGUGGCUGACCAAGGCUUUGACGGAUAGCCGGCCUGGGAGGGUGACCGGGCACAUGGGGACUGAGAGACGGAGCAGACUCGUACGGGAGGCAGCAGUGGGGAAUAUUGCACAAUGGGCGGAAGCCAGAUGCAGAAACGCCGCGUGCGGGAUGACGGCUUUCGGGUUGUAAACAGAUUUCGCCGGUGACGAAGAGUGAGUGACGGUAAUGGGUAAAGAAGCACCGGCUAACUACGUG